CUUUUCCUCUAGAAUUUGGUGUUGUUCAAUUGAUUGCUCUGUUUCAGUGAAGCAAACUGCAUUUCCAGAUUUAGAGCGCACCAUCUGUUAUAGAGUCCAUCAGUGAUUCUGAAGCCAUGUGAUGAUCUAGAUCCAUGCUAUGCAAUGUGAGAUCCAGUGAUAAGCUGCAUCAGCAUCCCCUACAAGCUUGCUAGAAUCAUGGACCCUCUCCAGACCCUACUAAAUCAAAAUCUGCACUUGACCAGGAUCCCAAAAAGAUCUAUAAGUUCCCCAGCACAUCAAUACUUGAGAUGCUUGAGAAGCACUGCUCUGGAUCAAUGAUUUUUGUUUCCUUCCUUCUCCUUUCCCGUCCUCUUUCCUCUCUUCAUCUUUCUUUCUCAAACAGAGCAUUUUUAAAAAUAAAAGUUUAUAGGGAACUUGGUAUAUGAAACUGUUAAUGUGACAUUUUAUUCCUACAAUUUCUUGUAUGAAUUCAAAUAAAAAAAUCACUUUUAAAAUAAUAUUAUAAUAAUAGUAGGGUCAUAAUGAUAUGUUUGAUAUUGGUUACUGGCUUUUAUGGUUAGCAGUUAUAGCAUUUAAUUCAUUAAAUGUGUCAGCAUUCAGUUUAUUUAUAUUAUUUGUUUUGAUUAAAAAGUCAAGAAAAUUCCACUCAUUUGAAACCAUAAUUACAUGUAUUAACUUUUUUUUUUUUUAAAAAAACCCUUGUUUUAUAGUGUUAAGAUUAACUGAACUAAAAACCUGAAAGUGAAUUAUUAGGGCACUAUUUUGUUAUAAAUUGCAAACAAUAUCUUAUAAUUGGUAACAUUCUUUAUUGUAAUUGUAAAAGUCAAACGACAAAAGGCCAAAAUGUAUCAUAUAAAGGUAAUGCAGUAAUAUGCGAUUAUUAAAACAUGAUGGAC
rnacentral:lncRNA from 1 species